rnacentral:rRNA from 1 species
GCGGGGCGAGUGAAGCGGCAAAAGCUCAAAUUUGAAAUCUGGCUCUUUCAGAGUCCGAGUUGUAAUUUGAAGAAGGUAUCUUUGGGUCUGGCUCUUGUCUAUGUUUCUUGGAACAGAACGUCACAGAGGGUGAGAAUCCCGUGCGAUGAGAUGAUCCAGGCCUAUGUAAAGUUCCUUCGAAGAGUCGAGUUGUUUGGGAAUGCAGCUCUAAGUGGGUGGUAAAUUCCAUCUAAAGCUAAAUAUUGGCGAGAGACCGAUAGCGAACAAGUACAGUGAUGGAAAGAUGAAAAGAACUUUGAAAAGAGAGUGAAAAAGUACGUGAAAUUGUUGAAAGGGAAGGGCUUGAGAUCAGACUUGGUAUUUUGUAUGUUACUUCUUCGGGGGUGGCCUCUACAGUUUAUCGGGCCAGCAUCAGUUUGGGCGGUAGGAGAAUUGCGUUGGAAUGUGGCACGGCUUCGGUUGUGUGUUAUAGCCUUCGUCGAUACUGCCAGCCUAGACUGAGGACUGCGGUUUAUACCUAGGAUGUUGGCAUAAUGAUCUUAAGUCGCCCGUCUUGAAACACGGACCAA